AGAGUUUGAUCAUGGCUCAGGAUUAACGCUGGCGGUAUGCCUAACACAUGCAAGUCGAACGGAAUACUAAUUAAGAGAAUCUCACACUAGUGAGAGGUUCUCACGAGUAGUAUUUAGUGGCGGACGGGUGAGUAACACGUUGGAACCUGCCCCGAAGUGGGGAAUAACUGCUCGAAAGAGUAGCUAAUACCCCAUAGUAUCCGGUUUAUCCGGAUUAAAGAUUUAUCGCUUCGGGAGGGGCCUGCGUCUGAUUAGCUUGUUGGUGAGGUAAAAGCUCACCAAGGCGACGAUCAGUAGCUGGUUCGAGAGGAUGACCAGCCACACUGGGACUGAGAUACGGCCCAGACUCCUACGGGAGGCAGCAGUGAGGAAUCUUCCACAAUGGACGAAAGUCUGAUGGAGCAAUACCGCGUGCAGGAAGACGCUUUUCGGAGUGUAAACUGCUUUUGUCGUCGAAGAUUAUGACUGUAGACGAAGAAUAAGGACCGGCUAACUACGUG
rnacentral:rRNA from 1 species